CAUGGAUCUUCAUAGCAAAAACUCUUGGUUUGUUCUCCAUGAUGAAAGCCAAUUAGUUUCUCUACCAACAGCACCACCCUUCUGAUUAGAUUUACAGACUGUUGGAAUUUUGGGAAUCCUCUAAAAAAACCUGUAACAUUUCCAGCUUAGAAGUGGGUGACUGCUGGAAAAGACUCAUCAUUAAGACACAGUUACACACUGAGAAACAUCUGUCUAUGAUGAACCGUAAUUAUAUCACUAAUUACUCUGAUGUCAGCCGAGACCAGGGAACAUUGCAGGGAUAAAACUGCUGUCACACCAGGCACUCUGCUAGCAGUGGUGUGCUCCAUGCCAAUGGAAAUGAAGAGUGGAAAAUUACAGUAGGUCAACAUUCCACUUGAACAUGUACCAAAAAAACAAACAAACUGUGAAUGGAAUAGCAAGCCCAAAGAAGUGAAUGUUGGAAAGCAGCUACUUAAAAGUUAUAUACAGCCUUCGGUUCCAUUCCUUAAAUUCUCGAGUCAUGCCACUAUUAUCCCAUACCAGCUCCAGACACUGACAGAGUGGUUGUGUGUGAAUUUAGUGCUCUCUCAAAGGCUUUUCCCUGACAGCCUGGAAAAACAAACUCCUUUUUAUACAUAUGGCUAAGUACAGAAUGGAAGUGAUACUACAAGCUCUCUGAACAGUCCAGCAAUAGAUGAGAAGGUACAUCCUUAAUUUACAGUGCCUUUUCCUAAAUAUCUUUGAUGACUCUUCCAAGGAGUAUAAUUUUUACAAGUUUUGUUAUGGUCAUUAGGAGGUAAUCAACAUUAACUGUUAUUUCAGUCCUAAAUGGCUUAUAUUCUCCAUCAGUAUGGGCUGAAGCGUAUCCAUGGGCUUCAUUUUGUUUUAUCUACUGGUGGUAAAAUGUUGUAGGUAAAGCAGAUGAUGUGGGAUGUUUUAUGGCUUUGAUUCUGUGAGAAGUGAAUCAGUGUAGCCCAUUUUCAA
rnacentral:lncRNA from 1 species